CUGCGAAUGGCUCAUUAUAUAAGUUAUCGUUUAUUUGAUAGUACCUUACUACUUGGAUAACCGUGGUAAUUCUAGAGCUAAUACAUGCUAAAAAUCCCGACUUCGGAAGGGAUGUAUUUAUUAGAUUAAAAACCAAUGCCCUCUGGGCUCCUUGGUGAUUCAUAAUAACUUUUCGAAUCGCAUGGCCUUGCGCCGGCGAUGGUUCAUUCAAAUUUCUUCCCUAUCAACUUUCGAUGUUUGGGUAUUGGCCAAACAUGGUCGCAACGGGUAACGGAGGGUUAGGGCUCGACCCCGGAGAAGGAGCCUGAGAAACGGCUACUACAUCCAAGGAAGGCAGCAGGCGCGCAAAUUACCCAAUCCCGAUUCGGGGAGGUAGUGACAAUAAAUACUGAUACAGGGCUCUUUUGGGUCUUGUAAUUGGAAUGAGUACAAUUUAAAUCCCUUAACGAGGAACAAUUGGAGGGCAAGUCUGGUGCCAGCAGCCGCGGUAAUUCCAGCUCCAAUAGCGUAUAUUAAAGUUGUUGUGGUUAAAAAGCUCGUAGUUGAACCUUGGGCCUGGCUGGCCGGUCCGCCUCACCGCGUGUACUGGUCCGGCCGGGCCUUUCCCUCUGUGGAACCUCAUGCCCUUCACUGGGUGUGGCGGGGAAACAGGACUUUUACUUUGAAAAAAUUAGAGUGCUCCAGGCAGGCCUAUGCUCGAAUACAUUAGCAUGGAAUAAUGAAAUAGGACGUGUGGUUCUAUUUUGUUGGUUUCUAGGACCGCCGUAAUGAUUAAUAGGGACAGUCGGGGGCAUCAGUAUUCAAUUGUCAGAGGUGAAAUUCUUGGAUUUAUUGAAGACUAACUACUGCGAAAGCAUUUGCCAAGGAUGUUUUCAUUAAUCAGGAACGAAAGUUAGGGGAUCGAAGACGAUCAGAUACCGUCGUAGUCUUAACCAUAAACUAUGCCGACUAGGGAUCGGACGAUGUUA
rnacentral:rRNA from 1 species